AAUUUUUGUUGUAAAUUUUCACAAAACAGGUUUCGUCACAAACUUUUGUGACAAAGUAAGAUUAUUAAUAUUGUUUAAUUUUUACAACAGUUGGGUCGGUAGCAACUAGAAAUAAAAUGGAGACUCACAAUAUGUUUCGUAGCAAUUAUGACAACUUUGUGACUGCCCCUGUCUCAUAUCAAAGGCCACUUAGUGUGCGGUAGCAAAUUGGUUACCAAAGCCACUACUUAUGCGACACUAUAAUUGCAGCAAGUUGAUUACAAAGCCACUUCUUUUGCGACAGUCUUAUUAUAGCAAAUUUAUGAUGGUGUCUUGUCGAUCUUCCACCAAGUUUUUGUUUAAUUAUUGGCUUCGUUUUCUCUCUUGUUCGAAUCUAUAUAUAUGCAUCAUUCUUCUUUGUUGUAUAUUCAUUCAAAUCUUUGGCUUCUCGUUUUCUCUCUUCAUAUCUAGCAACAAAAAAAAAUUCUUUCAUAUUCAUUCUAAAAUUUUUCAUUUGAGCAAACCGUCUCUUUUUUCUUUUUAAUCUAUUCUAUUAUCUUUUUCUUUGUAACAAAAAAAUGUCUUCAAGCAAUAAUAUAGAAAUCGUAAGAAAGUGGAUGUAUAAUCGUAUUAAUCGACACACUGGACAUGUAUUCGACGAAUAUGAAGCCGGGAUAAGUCAAUUUUAUAGAGUUUGCAAACUAUUGAUUAUAUGAUGGGAUCGAAUAUGGUGUCCAUGUCGAAAGUGUAGAAAUGAAGAACUUAUUUCUAUUGCUACCGUAUCUAAAUAUUUGUAUAAUAGACGAUUUCAACCCAACUAUUAUGUUUGAACAGCUCACGGUGAGGAGUUUGAGCACAGACCGCUCACGGUGAGUAGUUUGAGCACGGACACCAAUUUUACGAUCAAGCCGAAGAAAAUACAUUUCAAACAGUUGAACCGGAAUGGAAUUUUAAAACUAGUUAUAUUGGAGAUACUGUCUCAACGGAAGAUAUGUCAAUACCACGAUCAAGGUAAAUUAUUAGUUAUAUAUAUAUAUAUAUAAUGAAAUUGAAUUUAAAAUAAUUAAUUAAAAAGUUUUUCUUUAAAAAAAAAAAUAUAUAUAUAUAUAUAUAUAUUGCUCUUAAAAUUUGGUU
rnacentral:sRNA from 1 species